rnacentral:rRNA from 1 species
UACGUAGGGUGCGAGCGUUAAUCGGAAUUACUGGGCGUAAAGGGCUCGUAGGUGGCCAACUAAGUCAGACGUGAAAUCCCCAGCUUAACCUGGGAACUGCGUCUGAUACUGGAUGGCUUGAAUUCGGGAGAGGGAUGCAGAAUUCCAGGUGUAGCGGUGAAAUGCGUAGAUAUCUGGAGGAAUACCGGUGGCGAAGGCGGCAUCCUGGACCGAGAUUGACACUGAUGAGCGAAAGCUAGGGGAGCAAACGGG